rnacentral:lncRNA from 1 species
UUCCAAGCGCUAUUAAUCGAGCAUCUUCUUCUCUCCCUUUUAGAGUAAAUUAGUGAGCUAAACGGCUGACCUUGGGAACACAAAGAUGUGCAGGUGAAAGGAGGCUAAGAUAUGGAUCAGGACCAAGAGCUGGGAAGAUGCUAAAAACAGAUCUAGAUAGAAACCACACAAUGUUGGAUGAGAUCUACUCUACAGUUGCAGAUAGAGCCACAAGUUGAUACCAUCUGUUGAAGCACAUCUGAAGCUCUUAUGAAGAUGCAGUCCAGUUGCCAAGGAUACCAUCAUGAACACAGCCAUUACCUAAUUCAGUGCAAGCAGAGGACAGAAGAAAUCAGAAAGGAGGCAUUUGCAACAGUUAUAUUCAACCUGUGACAGGAAACUGUUGAGGAGGAAGUUGACAACGGGGACUUGGAAAGAAGGACACCAUGAGCGAGUCUUCCCGCUGCUCUUCGGAGAAUUCUGGUAUCCAUCUUGGUGCAGGGUACAUGUCUGCAACGAGGAAGGAAAGAUGUAGAAUGAGCUUAGCCUUGAGGUCAGCUCCAUCCUUCUUCCUUUCUCCACCUUGGAACCUGAAAAGUGAAGCAGCGAAAAAGAACCUCAUGCUUUC